AGCAGCCGCGGUAAUUCCAGCUCCAAUAGCGUAUAUUAAAGUUGUUGCAGUUAAAAAGCUCGUAGUUGAAUUUCGGGACCAGUAUGUCGGUCGUGCUUCGGUACGUACUUGCAUUAUUGGUUUCUCCCUUCUGAAGAACCAUGAUGUCAUUAAUUUGGUGUCAUGGGAAAUCAGGACUGUUACUUACGAAAAAAUUAGAGUGUUUAAAGCAGGCUCGCGCUUGAAUACAUUAGCAUGGAAUAAUGAAAUAGGACGUUUGAUUCUAUUUUGUUGGUUUCUAGGAUCGACGUAAUGAUUAAUAGGGAUAGGUUGGGGGCAUUAGUAUUCAAUUGUCAGAGGUGAAAUUCUCGGGUUUAUUGAAGACUAACUACUGCGAAAGCAUUUGCCAAGGAUGUUUUCAUUAAUCAAGAACGAAAGUUAGGGGAUCGAAGACGAUCAGAUACCGUCGUAGUCUUAACCAUAAACUAUGCCGACUAGGGAUCGGAUGAUGUUUAAUUUUUUAUGACUCAUUCGGCGCCUU
rnacentral:rRNA from 1 species